rnacentral:sRNA from 1 species
GAGGAGACAGAACCUCUCAUUCAUCCCUGACUUAAUCAUGGGGGAGUUAACAGUUUGUUUUUGAAUAAUGGAACAAAGGCAAGAACUGUGCAUAUGAAGAUUUGAUGUCAGUCAGUCUCAAAUCACCAAAACCAGGAGAAAUUAUUUAUGUUGCUGCUUUGCAGAAUUCAAUCAUUUUGGAAGUCCAAGAGAUGCCCCCCCCCAAAUAAACUAUGGCCAAUGUCCUUGGUUACCUAUCAGAACCUGAAGGUUGGAGACCUGAUAUGAAACAAAUGUUGAAGUGGAACGUCUUGGGGAGGAGGCUCUUGGUCAUUACAAAGUGGCUGGCAGCAGAUGUUCUGAGAAUCCCCAAGCCUCCUCUGACCCUCCUACUUUCCUGGCACUGGAACAUGGAACUCACAGCUGAUAGCAUCAUGAAGACAGAAGACAUUUUAGGAAGGGGCCAAGGACAAAAUAAUUUUCUACAAGCAUGCCCACAAGUGACCCAUUUCCUUCAGGUGAGGGUGUGGAAGCCAGAGGACAACGUGAUGGGGUAGGUUUCUCUCCUUCCACCACGUAGGUCCCUUGUCUGAUACCCCGGUCCUCCAGCUUGGCACCAGAGAGGUUACUGAUCUCCCAGGAGAAAGACUUGCCAUUUCUCUCUGGUAAUUUGGGCUCAAAGG